rnacentral:rRNA from 1 species
UACGGAGGGGGCUAGCGUUGUUCGGAAUUACUGGGCGUAAAGCGCACGUAGGCGGACCUGCAAGUUGGGGGUGAAAUCCCGGGGCUCAACCCCGGAACUGCCUCCAGGACUGCCGGUCUGGAGUUCGGGAGAGGCGAGUGGAAUUCCGAGUGUAGAGGUGAAAUUCGUAGAUAUUCGGAGGAACACCAGUGGCGAAGGCGGCUCGCUGGCCCGAUACUGACGCUGAGGUGCGAAAGCGUGGGGAGCAAACAGG